GCGGAAGACAAAAUACGGAGUUGAACCCUAGCCUCAGCUCUGCCCCGUCAGCACCGACCAAUCAACCUGAAAACAUUUGAAAGAAAUUUUGGGCUAAGUACUAAUGUACUUAGUGGCUAGCAUUUUAUAAUAUUUCAUAAUCAUAAGAGCAGUUUAUCCAAUUAUACUUUACAUGACGUUAGAAGGUUUUUAAAACUAAAAUAAACUUCUAAGUCAUGUUAAAACAUUUUAUAAUAUUGCGCGCAAUUGUCACACUCCCUUUCCGUUACUCGCUGUGAUCCCGGACCUUUUAGCCACCGACGGAUCCAUUACUCCUGCUUUACUUGGACUGAGGGCGUAACCCAGCCAAGCUCCCAUUUGGGACCCAAUGCUCCGGAACACAUCCCGUCGAGCACCCUUAUAACGCCUCAUACAUGAUUAGUGCCCGAUGGAGAUCAACCACCGAGUCAGCUAAUAGGUGUACACAAUUCUCAAACAACGUGUUAGGUCAUAAGAGAACCUCGAUCGAUUAACUUAUGCGAGCCUUAAACAGAGCAGAGUGCACAAAAAUAUUUAUUGGAUAAACAGUUUUCAUUUCAUUGAAAUAUUUAAGCUCAAUAGCUAAAUCAUACAUUUGGAAAAUAAGCCCACCUGAAUAGGCAAAGCCUGUCGUUUAUUCUUAACUCUGAAUUGGUAUAGCAGUGCUAGUCCUCACGAUCCACAAAGCCUACAAGAAAUCUAUAAUCUUAAUAGGUCUCCUGAAUCUAAUCUUAAGUCAUAGUGAAGUGCUUAAUAUUCUAUGAUUCAUUUAGCCGGUUUUCAAAAUUUAAUGAAUAAAUAAUUGAAAAUAUUUCUCUUGAGUUAAGAACACCAACAAUAUUCUUACUCAUCUUUCUUUAAUAAUUGAAAUUAUAAUAAAACCAAUUAAAUCAUAAAUAUUCUUAUUGCAAAAUAUAAUGCAAAUCAUGUCAUGCUUUACAUAUAAUAAGUAAUUACUUAAAAUAUGCACAUAAUAAUAAUAUAAUAUUAUUAUGAAAAUUAUCCUUUAAAUAAAUUAAUCAAACUAAUAAUAGUUCAAUUAAUUAAAAAUAAGAAAGCCCAAUUUAAUUAAUUGAAGGCAAAUUAAAAUCCUUAAAUAAAAUAAGGCCCAACAAAUUUAUUAAUUAAUAGCCCAACUGAAACAAAAAUAAAUAAAAUCUCGGCCCAAAUACUCAUAAAAAUCGGCCCAUGACUCGAGCCCACUCUAAUUAAAAUCGGCCCACAACUCGAGCCCACUCUAAUUAAAAUCGGCCCACUACCAAGCCCAUCACUCAAACCCAACCCCAAAGCCCAACCCUCACCAAGCCCUACCACCCCCACCCUCUUCUUCUCCCCCCAUAAAUCGCACAACACUCACACACACUUAGCAGCUGCGCAGCAGCACUCUUCUCUCCCUCUCUCGGCUCCCUCAAAUUUCCGCCGCCACGGCUCCUCCUCCGGCGACUGGCCGCCGCCCGCCGAAUCACCACAUCAUCUUCCUCUCUCCUUUACUUUGGUUCCACCAGACCCCCUUCUCCCUCAUCCUCACUUCACGCCAAACCCCCUUCUCCCUCAUCCUCACUCAUCAAACUGACUCGCCACCGUGGAGACUCGCCGGAGACGCAGCAGCGACGAGCCACCGCUACCAGCUUUCUCUCUGACAGUAGCCGAGCACAGCGGCACCUCCUUCCUCUCGAAUCCGGCGACCACAGGACAUCCAUGGCCGCCGCCUGAACUCCCUCCGCUGAACUCCGGCUGCCACGACCAGUAGCUGGUCGCCGCCCAUUCUCCUCUCCUCUGGUCAGACAACAACAGCCCCACGGUAACUGCUGCUGCUCUCGACCACCUCCAUCUAUCCUUGACAACGGCGAAGCGCCGCUGCCCCCUUCAAGUCCUCCGGCAGUCGCAGCGAGCGAGCUGCGAUACAUCUCUCUCCGCCCUUGGCCGAGCAGCAACGGCGAGUCACCGUCGUGCCCAGCCUCUCUCCAAAAUCUCGACUCACUCCCGACUCUCUUUCUCUAUGUGAGAACAGAGUACCACAGACAACCCUCAAUUUCCGGCAACCGCAACGAAGUCACGGCCGUGGCCCUUCCCGACUCGACACAGCAAGCAAAACUAAAGCUUAAUACUUUUCUUUCUUUCGUUUAUUAACUAGACUUGAAAACUAUUUAGUACUUGCUUAUGCACAUACAUGAAUGUAUAUAUAUAUAUAUAAAUAUAUGCAUAUAUCUGUGAGAUGAUGAAUAUGGAUUUGUUUCUCUGCUUUAGGCUCAAUUAGCACAGGAAGUAAACUAAUUGAGUUAGAAUUAUAACCUUUUGAUGAGGUUUCGGCUGGUGUUUGUUGUUGUAUUUGUUGUUGUUUACUAAGCUUCUGUGAAUGGAGUUCUGUGAAUGGAGUUGUACAAGAAUUUCAGAUGUUGCUUUAUUCAAAAAUUUGCAAGAGAGACAAGGAAAAAAAAAAAAUGAAAGAAUUUCAAAGUUCCAAACUUACAUGGGCAGUGGCGUUUUUUUUUUAGAGAGAGAGAGCUUGGAAGUUGCUGAAGGUUGUAAGAAUUAAAUUAUGAAAUUAUGAUUGCAGUUCUUACCUCUGCACUUGUUCCUUGGUAUGUAGGAGAAAUGGUGAGUGGAAGGGAAUGAGUAUUAUGGCUAAAGUUUAUUUUGGUGGGGGGCAAAGUAUGGUGUGAAGUGUGAGUGGGGAGAGUGGAAAGUGUGAGUGGGUAGUGAUGUUAACGUUGGUGGUGGAAGUAAUGAAUUGGUGAGUAGUGUAGCACCAUUGAUGAGUAGUGGAUUGAGGAUGAGAUAUGGGAGGAUUUUAUUAGUCUGCAUAAAUACAUGUAUGCUAAAAAUAAUCAUGAUAUAGGGUGGCUAUUAGGAACAUAAAUAAUAUAUCGGGACUGUAAUAAUACUUCAGGGUUCGAAAAAAAUAGCUCGUGAAAGAUUGCUAA
rnacentral:lncRNA from 1 species